UACGUAGGGUGCAAGCGUUGUCCGGAAUUAUUGGGCGUAAAGAGCUCGUAGGCGGUUCUCGCGUGUCUCUGUGAAAAUCAGGGCUUACCACCGUGACCUGCAGUGGGUACGGGCAGACUAGAGUGUGGUAGGGGAGAUCGGAAUUCCUGGUGUAGCGGUGGAAUGCGCAGAUAUCAGGAGGAACACCGGUGGCGAAGGCGGAUCUCUGGGGCCGAACUGAACGCUGGAGGAGCGAAAGCUGGGGAGCGA
rnacentral:rRNA from 1 species